rnacentral:rRNA from 1 species
UACGGAGGGUGCAAGCGUUAUCCGGAUUCACUGGGUUUAAAGGGUGCGUAGGCGGGCAUUUAAGUCAGUGGUGAAAUCCUGGAGCUCAACUCCAGAACUGCCAUUGAUACUAUCUGUCUUGGAUAUUGUGGAGGUUUGCGGAAUAUGUCAUGUAGCGGUGAAAUGCUUAGAUAUGACAUAGAACACCUAUUGCGAAGGCAGCAGGCUACGCAUAUAUCGACGCUGAGGCACGAAAGCGUGGGGAUCAAAC